rnacentral:rRNA from 1 species
UACGAAGGGGGCUAGCGUUGUUCGGAAUCACUGGGCGUAAAGCGCACGUAGGCGGAUUUUUAAGUCAGGGGUGAAAUCCCGAGGCUCAACCUCGGAACUGCCUUUGAUACUGGAGAUCUUGAGUCCGGAGGAGGUAAGUGGAACUGCGAGUGUAGAGGUGAAAUUCGUAGAUAUUCGCAAGAACACCAGUGGCGAAGGCGGCUUACUGGUCCGGAACUGACGCUGAGGUGCGAAAGCGUGGGGAGCAAACAGG